rnacentral:rRNA from 1 species
UACGUAGGGCGCAAGCGUUGUCCGGAAUUAUUGGGCGUAAAGAGCUCGUAGGCGGCUUGUCACGUCGGAUGUGAAAGCCCGGGGCUUAACCCCGGGUCUGCAUUCGAUACGGGCAGGCUCGAGUUCGGUAGGGGAGACUGGAAUUCCUGGUGUAGCGGUGAAAUGCGCAGAUAUCAGGAGGAACACCGGUGGCGAAGGCGGGUCUCUGGGCCGAUACUGACGCUGAGGAGCGAAAGCGUGGGGAGCGAACAGG